AUUGAACGCUGGCGGAAUGCUUUACACAUGCAAGUCGAGCGGCAGCACGGGGGCAACCCUGGUGGCGAGCGGCGAACGGGUGAGUAAUACAUCGGAACAUGCCCAGUCGUGGGGGAUAACACUUCGAAAGAAGUGCUAAUACCGCAUACGUCCUGAGGGAGAAAGCGGGGGAUCGCAAGACCUCGCGCGAUUGGAGUGGCCGAUGUCAGAUUAGCUAGUUGGUGGGGUAAAGGCCUACCAAGGCAACGAUCUGUAGCUGGACUGAGAGGAUGAUCAGCCACACUGGGACUGAGACACGGCCCAGACUCCUACGGGAGGCAGCAGUGGGGAAUUUUGGACAAUGGGGGCAACCCUGAUCCAGCCAUUCCGCGUGAGUGAAGAAGGCCUUCGGGUUGUAAAGCUCUGUCGGCAGGAACGAAACGGUGAGCUCUAACAUAGCUUGCUAAUGACGGUACCUGAAGAAGAAGCACCGGCUAACUACGUG
rnacentral:rRNA from 1 species